rnacentral:rRNA from 1 species
UACAGCGGGGGCAAGCGUUAUUCGGAAUUAUUGGGCGUAAAGGGCGCGUAGGCGGCCUGGCAAGUGGAUGGUGAAAUCCCUCGGCUUAACCGAGGAACUGCCGUCCAAACUGCUUCGCUUGAGACCGGGAGAGGUGAGUGGAAUUCCCAGUGUAGCGGUGAAAUGCGCAGAUAUCAGGAAGAACACCCGUGGCGAAGGCGGCUCUCUGGGACGGUACUGACGCUGAGACGCGAAAGCGUGGGGAGCGAACAGG